AUCAAUUCAAUUCAUACAAUGUCUAACAAUUAUAAAUGGUAAUGUGGAAGCACGAAGAUCACUAAGGACUUUUCGGUUGAAGCUUGGUUAUGGUUAACAAACAAGGGUCAUUUCUAAGGCCAUUGAAAACGAAAUUGCCGAUGCAAAAGAGACAUUCACUGUCAUUAUUCACACAUCUCAACUUCGUUCCAUUUAUUUCUCAUUUGAAACCUUCACAACUCUUAUUUCGCCACUCAAUUUUUGUUUUUCACUAUUUUUCUUCCAAGCAAGCAUUCAUUUUCAUUUUCUCUA
rnacentral:lncRNA from 1 species